rnacentral:rRNA from 1 species
GGGCUUUGUUUGCGCAGGAUAGGUGGGAGGCGUUGAAAGUUUUCUUGCGGGAAGAUUUGAGCCAUUGGUGAGAUACCACUCUAACAAUGCUAGGAUUCUAACCCUAUGUCGUUAUCCGGCUAGGGGACAGUUUCAGGUGGUCAGUUUGACUGGGGCGGUCGCCUCCUAAAAGGUAACGGAGGCGUGCAAAGGUUCCCUCAGGCUGGUUGGAAAUCAGUCGUAGAGUGUAAAGGCAUAAGGGAGCUUGAUUGUGAGACCUACAAGUCGAACAAAGACGAAAGUCGGCCUUAGUGAUCCGGCGGUACCGAGUGGAAGGGCCGUCGCUCAACGGAUAAAAGUUACUCUAGGGAUAAC